AUUACUUAGUCACAAUAAUAAUAAUAAUAAUUAAAAAAAAAACACUUCACCUUAAUUAAUGAGUUUUGGUGCACAGAGCCUGACCAUUUUCUCUGGCAAUGUAAAAUGUUGCCUUUUCAGAGAAUUUCAAAGUUCUUAAAGUUCAUCGUCAUGAUGCACAACAUAAUAAUGCAAAACCUUGUUAAUGCUUCUCAUGUACAAGCAUUGGACUCAGUGCUUCUUAAUGAGAAACAUUUACAUGUUGGAACAUGGUAAUUGCACAAAUGUGCCAUACGUCCCCAGUACUUCUCCAUGAGAAGCAUUGGAUUGAAUCGAGAACUGGAUUGCACUCAUGAGAGAGCAGGGAAACAGAAUCCAAUAAUUAUACCAAGUAAUAGAACCCCAUGUAUGGAAUUAUACUAAGAAAGACAAUUUAAAUAUAUUGUACAGAAGAUGUAAUAAUUUUGAAAUCCAGAAGAAGUUUGAAAAUAAUUUAUUGUUGUUUGUCAAUUCUGUG